rnacentral:rRNA from 1 species
GACGAACCGAGCGAACGUUAUUCGGAAUCACUGGGCUUAAAGGGCGCGUAGGCGGGCUGACAAGUCAGGGGUGAAAUCCCCGCGGCUCAACCGCGGGAAGUGCCUCUGAUACUGGCGGCCUCGAGGGAGGUAGGGCGUGCGGAACUUCCGGUGGAGCGGUGAAAUGCGUGAGAUAUCGGAAGGAACACCGGUGGCGAAAGCGGCGCGCUGGACCUCUUCUGACGCUGAGGCGCGAAAGCCAGGGAGCG